GGAUGAACGCUGGCGGCGUGCUUAACACAUGCAAGUCGAACGGUGAAGCCCAGCUUGCUGGGUGGAUCAGUGGCGAACGGGUGAGUAACACGUGAGCAACCUGCCCCGGACUCUGGGAUAAGCGCUGGAAACGGCGUCUAAUACUGGAUACGAACCACGAAGGCAUCUUCAGUGGUUGGAAAGAUUUUUUGGUCUGGGAUGGGCUCGCGGCCUAUCAGCUAGUUGGUGAGGUAAUGGCUCACCAAGGCGUCGACGGGUAGCCGGCCUGAGAGGGUGACCGGCCACACUGGGACUGAGACACGGCCCAGACUCCUACGGGAGGCAGCAGUGGGGAAUAUUGCACAAUGGGCGCAAGCCUGAUGCAGCAACGCCGCGUGAGGGAUGACGGCCUUCGGGUUGUAAACCUCUUUUAGCAAGGAAGAAGCGAAAGUGACGGUACUUGCAGAAAAAGCGCCGGCUAACUAC
rnacentral:rRNA from 1 species